rnacentral:rRNA from 1 species
GACAGAGGGUGCAAACGUUGUUCGGAAUUACUGGGCGUAAAGCGCGUGUAGGCGGCCAAACAAGUCGGGCGUGAAAUCCCACGGCUCAACCGUGGAAGUGCACCCGAAACUGUGUGGCUAGAGUCCUGGAGAGGAAGGUGGAAUGCUUGGUGUAGAGGUGAAAUUCGUAGAUAUCAAGCGGAACACCGGUGGCGAAGGCGGCCUUCUGGACAGUGACUGACGCUGAGACGCGAAAGCGUGGGGAGCAAACAGGAUUAGAUACCCUCGUAGUCC